GGUGCUAAAGCUGAUUAUUAUUAUUAUUAUUAUUAUUAUUAUUAUUAUUAUUAUUAUUAUUUUAUGCAUUGCAAACUGUUCCACUCUGAGUGUGUGUCUGUGUAUCAUGUUUAAGCGGCGGCAUAAUCAGAUGCAUCCCACUAAAAAAAAUAAGCUGGAUUUUAGGGAUGAAAGUCUGCCUGAUGCCUACUGGCGCUUUUCCUUUUAGUUUUAUUUCAAAGGUUUGAAUAAUGAGCAUCUAAAUGGUUCCUCUAACUUUCAACAGCAAGGAAAAUACAAAAGGAGAAAACCCACAUAUGACAAUUCCUAGAGCAAUCCACCACCUACGACACAUCUGGUGCCCUAAGUUUUACAGGAAAGGGAAGAGAAAGCACCCAACAACCUCUAAACUAAAGCACGCAAAGGAGGAACAUUCCUGAAGUCUCACAAGUCAUAAAAAGUUUUAAAAAGUUGCUGGUAUUCUUCAAAACUCUGUCUUUACCCAGAUACCUCAUAAAACACCAAAGUUGUAAUUAAUUGAUUAAAUGAACUGAAAAUUCUAGAACUUAAAAUUGUAGAAAUGAAAUAAUGAAACCCAAGCCAUUUCCCUUUCUCAUAUGCAAUGCUAAAUUUCAUUGAUAGGUAGAUUAUCAAAUAUAAUUUCUCAGUGCUCAGGUGAAAAUUAACCGAUGGAGGAGCUGAGAUCUCCUGGUCUGGGGCCCUGCCUCAGCUGGUGACUCACCAGAGCACUCUGGCCAGCUGAAAUAUGACAGUGACAGAGGUGAUGCAGUUGUGGCUCCAUUCUAUUUCUUAAACAUUUCGUUUCUUGAACAUUUAAACAAAGCAACAGUUGCACUUCAUAGUUUUGUUUUCUCUUUGUUGGCUUCAUGCUAAUACUGAAAGGAUGUAAUGAAUUAAAGGGUGCAGUUAAUUAGUCACAAAAUUGUACAUUUUUGGUACAAAGCUUUGAUAGGGUUUUGGUUAUAUGACACUUUGUUUGCAUUUAUCUUUAAAUAAAUGAAGCUGUUUGAGAAAUGACUUUGUAGCA
rnacentral:lncRNA from 1 species